rnacentral:sRNA from 1 species
AACCGAGAGUGGAGCCUCCGCGCUCGAACUA